GAUUUAAUUUCAUCUAGAAGGCAUCAUUUGGUGUUUUUAAUUGAAACUCUAGUUCAUUCGUCGAAGAUUGAGGAGUUCAGUGUUAAGUUUGGGUUCGAAGGAUUAUUUGUUGUUGAUAGGAUUGGUAGGUGUGGGGGUUUGACUCUUUUAUGAAAGAGGAGAGAUGAUUAUACACUUUUAGGUUAUUCAAAUAACCAUAUUGAUGUGGAGAUGUGUAUAGAGGGAUAUGCUAGCUGGAGAUUUACGGGCUAUUACGGAUAUCUUGAGAGGAAUAAGAGGAGGGAAGCUUGGAAUUUUAUUCGGCAUCUUCAUUCAUUAUAAUCGUUGCCUUGUGUUUAAUGGGUGAUUACAAUGAAUUAUUGAACGAGGAGGAUAAGAGAGGUCAUGUUCCUAUUCCUGCAUGGAUGUUACGUGGGUUUAAGGAUGUGGUUUUGGAUGUUGGGCUUUGUGAUUUACCAGUUAAUAGGCAUCAAUACACUUGGAAUAGAGGUUUUAGGACUGUACAUAGUCUGGAAGAGAGGAUUGAUCGAUGGAUGGUUACUCUAGAUGGCAUUUUUUCCAGAUACUAGGCUUUCAAAUCUUAUUGCUGCUACAUCUGAUCAUAGCCCGAUAGAGCUGGUCAUUGUCCAGGUUCUUCGUCAUGGGCAUCGUCGGGUUUUCAAGUUCGAGAAUGGGUGGUUACAUGAGCCAGAGCUAAAGACGGUGGUGUUGAACAGUUGGGGCAUUAAUGAAGCAAGUCCUUUAUUAGAUAAACUAAUUCGUUGUGCUACUGCUUUGGAGCUGUGGGUUUGAAAAAGCAACUUAGGAAUCUUUUCGCUCAAAAAGAGGAUUUUUGGCAUCAAAGUGCCAAGUGUUUCUGGCUGCAACGUGGAGAUACCAAUUCCAAGUUUUUUCAUUCCAUGGCUUCGACUAGAAAGAAUAUUAAUAAAAUUGUGAAGCUUCGUGGGGACAAUGGUGAGUGGGUUGAUAAUCCUACUAGCCUUGCAAAUAUUGUUGGAAAAUGUUUUAAAGGCCUUUUUGAAUCGGAUGAGGGAUGGCAGGAUCCGGAUCAAUCAUUUGUUUAUGGUAGAGUGUUGGUCGAAGAUAAUGAAUAUUUGGUAGCUCCUUUGACUUAUGAGGAAUUUCAGUGUGCAAUUCUUCAAAUGCAUCCAGAUAAGUCUCUAGGACCAGAUGGCUUGAAUCCAACUUUUUACCUGAAGUUUUGGCCUCAAAUUGGGAUUUGAGACAAGGGGAUCCACUAUCACCGUAUCUCUUUAUGAUGCAGGCGACUGAGAGAAGAGGUGAGAUUCAUGGUUGUCUUAUUAGUAGAGGUGCUCUUGCAGUGUCCCAUUUACUCUUUGCAGAUGACAGUUUUUUCUUCUUUGAUAGUUCAACUAUUGAGUGCAGGAA